UCAGAUAUGGAUCAGUGGUAGAGCAUUUACCUAGCAUGUGAAGGCCUUGGGUUCAAUCCCUAGUACCUGAA
rnacentral:tRNA from 1 species